GCACCUAUAGUGGAAUGGAUACCACGCAAGCUUCCGAAGCUUGUACUAUGGGUUCGAAUCCCAUUAGGUGCA
rnacentral:tRNA from 1 species